GAGGAGCCGCUGAGUGGGGAGGAGAGAGGGACAGAGAGCCUGCUUGCUUUAAAGGAGCAAAGCAAGCAGGCUCUCUGUCCCUCUCUCCUCCUCACUCAGCUCGCUAAAU